UACGUAGGUGGCAAGCGUUGUCCGGAUUUACUGGGCGUAAAGCGCGCGCAGGCGGCAGUCUAAGUCCUCUGUGAAAUCACCCGGCUCAACUGGGUGGCUGCGGAGGAGACUGGGCAGCUUGAGGGGCCUAGAGGCCGGUGGAACUCCCGGUGUAGUGGUGAAAUGCGUAGAGAUCGGGAGGAACACCAGUGGCGAAGGCGAUCACCUGGGGUUGUUCUGACGCUGAGGAGCGAAAGCUAGGGGAGCAAACGGG
rnacentral:rRNA from 1 species